rnacentral:rRNA from 1 species
UGCAGUCGAGCGAACAGAGAAGGAGCUUGCUCCUUUGACGUUAGCGGCGGACGGGUGAGUAACACGUGGGCAACCUACCCUAUAGUUUGGGAUAACUCCGGGAAACCGGGGCUAAUACCGAAUAAUCUAUGUCACCUCAUGGUGACAUACUGAAAGACGGUUUCGGCUGUCGCUAUAGGAUGGGCCCGCGGCGCAUUAGCUAGUUGGUGAGGUAAUGGCUCACCAAGGCGACGAUGCGUAGCCGACCUGAGAGGGUGAUCGGCCACACUGGGACUGAGACACGGCCCAGACUCCUACGGGAGGCAGCAGUAGGGAAUCUUCCACAAUGGGCGAAAGCCUGAUGGAGCAACGCCGCGUGAGUGAAGAAGGUUUUCGGAUCGUAAAACUCUGUUGUAAGGGAAGAACAAGUACAGUAGUAACUGGCUGUACCUUGACGGUACCUUAUUAGAAAGCCACGGCUAACUACGUGCCAGCAGCCGCGGUAAUACGUAGGUGGCAAGCGUUGUCCGGAAUUAUUGGGCGUAAAGCGCGCGCAGGCGGUCCUUUAAGUCUGAUGUGAAAGCCCACGGCUCAACCGUGGAGGGUCAUUGGAAACUGGGG